GACGAACGCUGGCGGCGUGCUUAACACAUGCAAGUCGAACGGAAAGGCCCUGCUUAUGUGGGGUGCUCGAGUGGCGAACGGGUGAGUAACACGUGAGUAACCUGCCCUUGACUUUGGGAUAACUUCAGGAAACUGGGGCUAAUACCGGAUAGGAGCUCCUGCUGCAUGGUGGGGGUUGGAAAGUUUCGGCGGUUGGGGAUGGACUCGCGGCUUAUCAGCUUGUUGGUGGGGUAGUGGCUUACCAAGGCUUUGACGGGUAGCCGGCCUGAGAGGGUGACCGGCCACAUUGGGACUGAGAUACGGCCCAGACUCCUACGGGAGGCAGCAGUGGGGAAUAUUGCACAAUGGGCGGAAGCCUGAUGCAGCAACGCCGCGUGCGGGAUGACGGCCUUCGGGUUGUAAACCGCUUUCGCCUGUGACGAAGCGUGAGUGACGGUAAUGGGUAAAGAAGCACCGGCUAACUACGUG
rnacentral:rRNA from 1 species